rnacentral:rRNA from 1 species
GACGAACGCUGGCGGCGUGCCUAAUACAUGCAAGUCGAGCGGACCAAUAGAAGCUUGCUUCUGUUGGUUAGCGGCGGACGGGUGAGUAACACGUGGGCAACCUGCCUGUAAGACUGGGAUAACUUCGGGAAACCGGAGCUAAUACCGGAUAAUUCAUCCCCUCGCAUGAGGGGAUGCUGAAAGUCGGUUUACGCUGACACUUACAGAUGGGCCCGCGGCGCAUUAACUAGUUGGUGAGGUAAUGGCUCACCAAGGCGACGAUGCGUAGCCGACCUGAGAGGGUGAUCGGCCACACUGGGACUGAGACACGGCCCAGACUCCUACGGGAGGCAGCAGUAGGGAAUCUUCCACAAUGGACGAAAGUCUGAUGGAGCAACGCCGCGUGAGCGAUGAAGGCCUUCGGGUCGUAAAGCUCUGUUGUUAGGGAAGAACAAGUAUCGGAGUAACUGCCGGUACCUUGACGGUACCUAACCAGAAAGCCAUGGCUAACUACGUGCCAGCCGCCGCGGUAA